rnacentral:rRNA from 1 species
UACGGAGGGGGCUAGCGUUGUUCGGAAUUACUGGGCGUAAAGCGCACGUAGGCGGCUUUGUAAGUAAGAGGUGAAAGCCCAGAGCUCAACUCUGGAAUUGCCUUUUAGACUGCAUCGCUUGAAUCAUGGAGAGGUCAGUGGAAUUCCGAGUGUAGAGGUGAAAUUCGUAGAUAUUCGGAAGAACACCAGUGGCGAAGGCGGCUGACUGGACAUGUAUUGACGCUGAGGUGCGAAAGCGUGGGAGCAAACAGG